GAUGAACGCUGGCGGCGUGCUUAACACAUGCAAGUCGAACGGAAAGGCCCAAGCUUGCUUGGGUACUCGAGUGGCGAACGGGUGAGUAACACGUGGGUGAUCUGCCCUGCACUUCGGGAUAAGCCUGGGGAAACUGGGUCUAAUACCGGAUAGGACCACAUUUUGGAUGGUGUGGUGGAAAGUUUUUCGGUGUGGGAUGAGCUCGCGGCCUAUCAGCUUGUUGGUGGGGUAAUGGCCUACCAAGGCGUCGACGGGUAGCCGGCCUGAGAGGGUGUACGGCCACAUUGGGACUGAGAUACGGCCCAGACUCCUACGGGAGGCAGCAGUGGGGAAUAUUGCACAAUGGGCGCAAGCCUGAUGCAGCGACGCCGCGUGGGGGAUGACGGCCUUCGGGUUGUAAACUCCUUUCGCUAGGGACGAAGCGCAAGUGACGGUACCUGGAGAAGAAGCACCGGCUAACUACGUG
rnacentral:rRNA from 1 species